GACGAACCGUGCGAACGUUGUUCGGAAUCACUGGGCUUAAAGGGCGCGUAGGCGGGCUGCCAAGUCCGGGGUGAAAUCUUUCGGCCCAACCGGAAAAGUGCCUUCGAUACUGGCGGCCUGGAGGGAGGUAGGGGUAUGCGGAACUUCCGGUGGAGCGGUGAAAUGCGUAGAUAUCGGAAGGAACACCGAUGGCGAAAGCAGCGUGCUGGACCUUUUCUGACGCUGAGGCGCGAAAGCCAGGGGAGCAAACGGG
rnacentral:rRNA from 1 species